CCUACGGGUGGCAGCAGUGGGGGAUAUUGCACAAUGGGGGGAACCCUGAUGCAGCGACGCCGCGUGGGUGAAGAAGCGCCUCGGCGCGUAAAGCCCUGUCAGCAGGGAAGCAAAUGACGGUACCUGACGACGAAGCCCCGGCUUAAUACGUGCCAGCAGCCGUGGUAAUACGUAGGGGGCAAGCGUUAUCCGGAUUUACUGGGUGUAAAGGGGGCGCAGACGGCGAUGCAAGCCAGGAGUGAAAGCCCGGGGCCCAACCCCGGGACUGCUCUUGGAACUGCGUGGCUGGAGUGCAGGAGGGGCAGGCGGAAUUCCUGGUGUAGCGGUGAAAUGCGUAGAUAUCAGGAGGAACACCGAUGGCGAAGGCGGCCUGCUGGACUGCAACUGACGUUGAGGCCCGAAAGCGUGGGGAGCGAACAGGAUUAGAUACCCCUGUAGUC
rnacentral:rRNA from 1 species